rnacentral:rRNA from 1 species
AUGUGUUCAUUCACAGUUCCUCCGGCCGUGCUGCAGCUGUUCCUGCUGCUCUUCUUAGCCUCUCCCGCCACUGCAUGCACCGAGCAGGAGAAGCGCAACCUCCUCCAGUUCCUUGCCGGGCUGUCGAGUGAUGGUGGCCUCGCCACGUCUUGGUGUAAUAAUGGCGCGGACUGCUGCGAGUGGGAAGGCAUCUCCUGCAAUGGAGAUGGGGCCGUCACUGGGGUCUCCCUGGAGUCUAAAGGACUUGAAGGGCCCAUCUCUCCGUUCCUCACCAACCUCACCAGCCUGCUGCACAUCAACCUCUCGCACAACUCGCUCUCCGGUGGUCUUCCGGCGGAGCUCAUGUUCUCCAGAAGCAUCAUCGUCCUCGAUGUCAGCUUCAGCCGGCUCAACGGACCACUGCCCGAGCUUCCGUCCUUGGUUACCACUGACCGGCCUCUGCAGGUACUCAACAUCUCAAGCAACCAGUUCGGCUCAGAAUUUCCAUCAGCCACAUGGAAGGUGAUGAAGAAUCUUAUCGCGCUCAACACCAGCAAUAACAGCUUCAGUGGGCACAUACCUUCUUCUCUUUGCGUUAGCUCGCCAUCUUUGGCUUUGCUUGACCUCUCCUACAACCAAUUGAGUGGCGACAUCCCAAACACACUGGGUAAUUGCUCCAAGCUCAAAGUGCUCAAGGCUGGCAACAAUCACCUAAGUGGGAUUCUGCCUGUUGAAAUCUUCCACGCUACCUCGCUAGAGUACCUCUCCUUCCCCAACAAUGGUGGUUUACAAGGAGAACUUGAUGGAGCACACAUAGUCAAACUCAGUAGUCUGCUUAUUCUUGACCUUGGAGGGAACAGUUUCAGUGGAGCCAUCCCAGAGUCCAUAGGUCAGCUCAGGAGGCUGGAGGAGCUCCAUUUGGGCAGCAAUAACAUGUCUGGGGAGCUGCCAUCAACUAUGAGCAACUGCACAAAUCUCAAAACCAUUGAUCUGAAGAUCAACAACCUCACUGGAGAUCUAGGGAAGGUAAACUUCGCCACCCUACAGAAUCUAAAAAGUUUAGAUCUCAUGGAGAAUAAUCUUGGUGGCAUAGUUCCAGAAAGCAUUUACUCAUGCAGCAAUUUGACUGCACUGCGGUUGUCAGCCAACCAUUUCCAUGGUGAAAUCUCAUCAAGAAUUGGCAAUCUGAAGCACCUGUCCUUCCUAUCAAUUAGUAGAAACUCCUUUACGAAUAUCACAAAAGCUUUGCAUGCUCUUAAGAGCUGCAGGAACAUCAGCACUCUGCUUAUUGGCAGAAACUUUAUGAAUGAGGCCAUGCCACAAGAUGAAAGCAUUGACGGUUUUCAGAAUCUUCAGUUUCUCGCCAUGCACCAGUGUUCAUUGACUGGAAGAAUACCUACUUGGUUAUCAAAGCUCACAAGGCUGAAGGUACUGGUAUUAUCUAAAAAUCAACUUACUGGACCAAUGCCAAGCUGGAUCAACUCCCUAAACAACCUCUUCCAUCUGGACGUAUCAAACAACAGUCUUUCUGGGAAAAUCCCAGUCACCUUGAUGGAGAUGGCAAUGCUAAAACUAGAUAAGCCUGCCAUCUAUUUGGACCCAAGUCUCGUUGACCUUGAUCUACUUAUUUAUGCUGUGGAUGCAUCAAAACUUCAAUACCGCAUAAACAGUGAUUGGUGCAAAGUGCUGAAUCUCGGUAACAAUAAAUUCACAGGUGUGAUCCCACAAGAGAUUGGUCAGCUGAAAGCACUCCUUUACCUGAACUUGAGUUCCAACAACUUCUAUGGAGAGAUCCCACAAUCAAUCGGCAACCUCACUAACCUUCAGAGGUUAGAUUUGUCUAAUAACCAUCUGACUGGUGAAAUUCCUGCAGCAUUGGAGAUCCUUCACUUCCUUUCAGAGUUCAACAUUUCUAACAAUGACCUAGAAGGACCUAUUCCAACAACAGGCCAGCUGAGCACAUUUCAAGCUUCUAGUUUUAAUGGGAACCCAAAGCUGUGCGGCCCUAUGCUUAUUAACCAUUGUAGUUCGGUUGAAGCAGCUCCCAUCUCCAUCGUUUCUGCAAAAAAAUGCAGCAGUAAGGUCAUUUUUGUGACAGCCUUUGGUGUGUUCUUUGGGGUAGGAGUGCUAUAUGAUCAGUUAGUAUUAUUUAGAUAUUUUGGCUAA